CGAGCGACAGAUAAGGAGCUUGCUCCUUUGACGUUAGCGGCGGACGGGUGAGUAACACGUGGAUAACCUACCUAUAAGACUGGGAUAACUUCGGGAAACCGGAGCUAAUACCGGAUAAGAUUUUGAACCGCAUGGUUCAAUAGUGAAAGACGGCCUUGCUGUCACUUAUAGAUGGAUCCGCGCCGUAUUAGCUAGUUGGUAAGGUAACGGCUUACCAAGGCAACGAUACGUAGCCGACCUGAGAGGGUGAUCGGCCACACUGGAACUGAGACACGGUCCAGACUCCUACGGGAGGCAGCAGUAGGGAAUCUUCCGCAAUGGGCGAAAGCCUGACGGAGCAACGCCGCGUGAGUGAUGAAGGUCUU
rnacentral:rRNA from 1 species